GGGUUGUGAGGUUAAGCGACUAAGCGUACACGGUGGAUGCCCUGGCAGUCAGAGGCGAUGAAGGACGUGCUAAUCUGCGAUAAGCGUCGGUAAGGUGAUAUGAACCGUUAUAACCGGCGAUUUCCGAAUGGGGAAACCCAGUGUGUUUCGACACACUAUCAUUAACUGAAUCCAUAGGUUAAUGAGGCGAACCGGGGGAACUGAAACAUCUAAGUACCCCGAGGAAAAGAAAUCAACCGAGAUUCCCCCAGUAGCGGCGAGCGAACGGGGAGCAGCCCAGAGCCUGAAUCAGUGUGUGUGUUAGUGGAAGCGUCUGGAAAGGCGCGCGAUACAGGGUGACAGCCCCGUACACAAAAAUGCACAUGCUGUGAGCUCGAUGAGUAGGGCGGGACACGUGGUAUCCUGUCUGAAUAUGGGGGGACCAUCCUCCAAGGCUAAAUACUCCUGACUGACCGAUAGUGAACCAGUACCGUGAGGGAAAGGCGAAAAGAACCCCGGCGAGGGGAGUGAAAAAGAACCUGAAACCGUGUACGUACAAGCAGUGGGAGCACGCUUCGGCGUGUGACUGCGUACCUUUUGUAUAAUGGGUCAGCGACUUAUAUUCUGUAGCAAGGUUAACCGAAUAGGGGAGCCGAAGGGAAACCGAGUCUUAACUGGGCGUUAAGUUGCAGGGUAUAGACCCGAAACCCGGUGAUCUAGCCAUGGGCAGGUUGAAGGUUGGGUAACACUAACUGGAGGACCGAACCGACUAAUGUUGAAAAAUUAGCGGAUGACUUGUGGCUGGGGGUGAAAGGCCAAUCAAACCGGGAGAUAGCUGGUUCUCCCCGAAAGCUAUUUAGGUAGCGCCUCGUGAAUUCAUCUCCGGGGGUAGAGCACUGUUUCGGCAAGGGGGUCAUCCCGACUUACCAACCCGAUGCAAACUGCGAAUACCGGAGAAUGUUAUCACGGGAGACACACGGCGGGUGCUAACGUCCGUCGUGAAGAGGGAAACAACCCAGACCGCCAGCUAAGGUCCCAAAGUCAUGGUUAAGUGGGAAACGAUGUGGGAAGGCCCAGACAGCCAGGAUGUUGGCUUAGAAGCAGCCAUCAUUUAAAGAAAGCGUAAUAGCUCACUGGUCGAGUCGGCCUGCGCGGAAGAUGUAACGGGGCUAAACCAUGCACCGAAGCUGCGGCAGCGACGCUUAUGCGUUGUUGGGUAGGGGAGCGUUCUGUAAGCCUGUGAAGGUGUGCUGUGAGGCAUGCUGGAGGUAUCAGAAGUGCGAAUGCUGACAUAAGUAACGAUAAAGCGGGUGAAAAGCCCGCUCGCCGGAAGACCAAGGGUUCCUGUCCAACGUUAAUCGGGGCAGGGUGAGUCGACCCCUAAGGCGAGGCCGAAAGGCGUAGUCGAUGGGAAACAGGUUAAUAUUCCUGUACUUGGUGUUACUGCGAAGGGGGGACGGAGAAGGCUAUGUUGGCCGGGCGACGGUUGUCCCGGUUUAAGCGUGUAGGCUGGUUUUCCAGGCAAAUCCGGAAAAUCAAGGCUGAGGCGUGAUGACGAGGCACUACGGUGCUGAAGCAACAAAUGCCCUGCUUCCAGGAAAAGCCUCUAAGCAUCAGGUAACAUCAAAUCGUACCCCAAACCGACACAGGUGGUCAGGUAGAGAAUACCAAGGCGCUUGAGAGAACUCGGGUGAAGGAACUAGGCAAAAUGGUGCCGUAACUUCGGGAGAAGGCACGCUGAUAUGUAGGUGAAGUCCCUCGCGGAUGGAGCUGAAAUCAGUCGAAGAUACCAGCUGGCUGCAACUGUUUAUUAAAAACACAGCACUGUGCAAACACGAAAGUGGACGUAUACGGUGUGACGCCUGCCCGGUGCCGGAAGGUUAAUUGAUGGGGUCAGCGCAAGCGAAGCUCUUGAUCGAAGCCCCGGUAAACGGCGGCCGUAACUAUAACGGUCCUAAGGUAGCGAAAUUCCUUGUCGGGUAAGUUCCGACCUGCACGAAUGGCGUAAUGAUGGCCAGGCUGUCUCCACCCGAGACUCAGUGAAAUUGAACUCGCUGUGAAGAUGCAGUGUACCCGCGGCAAGACGGAAAGACCCCGUGAACCUUUACUAUAGCUUGACACUGAACAUUGAGCCUUGAUGUGUAGGAUAGGUGGGAGGCUUUGAAGUGUGGACGCCAGUCUGCAUGGAGCCGACCUUGAAAUACCACCCUUUAAUGUUUGAUGUUCUAACGUUGACCCGUAAUCCGGGUUGCGGACAGUGUCUGGUGGGUAGUUUGACUGGGGCGGUCUCCUCCUAAAGAGUAACGGAGGAGCACGAAGGUUGGCUAAUCCUGGUCGGACAUCAGGAGGUUAGUGCAAUGGCAUAAGCCAGCUUGACUGCGAGCGUGACGGCGCGAGCAGGUGCGAAAGCAGGUCAUAGUGAUCCGGUGGUUCUGAAUGGAAGGGCCAUCGCUCAACGGAUAAAAGGUACUCCGGGGAUAACAGGCUGAUACCGCCCAAGAGUUCAUAUCGACGGCGGUGUUUGGCACCUCGAUGUCGGCUCAUCACAUCCUGGGGCUGAAGUAGGUCCCAAGGGUAUGGCUGUUCGCCAUUUAAAGUGGUACGCGAGCUGGGUUUAGAACGUCGUGAGACAGUUCGGUCCCUAUCUGCCGUGGGCGCUGGAGAACUGAGGGGGGCUGCUCCUAGUACGAGAGGACCGGAGUGGACGCAUCACUGGUGUUCGGGUUGUCAUGCCAAUGGCACUGCCCGGUAGCUAAAUGCGGAAGAGAUAAGUGCUGAAAGCAUCUAAGCACGAAACUUGCCCCGAGAUGAGUUCUCCCUGACCCUUUAAGGGUCCUGAAGGAACGUUGAAGACGACGACGUUGAUAGGCCGGGUGUGUAAGCGCAGCGAUGCGUUGAGCUAACCGGUACUAAUGAACCGUGAGGCUUAACCUUACAACGCCGAAG
rnacentral:rRNA from 1 species